rnacentral:rRNA from 1 species
UAGGUGUGGGGACCAUUCCACGGUUUCCGCGCCGCAGCUAACGCAUUAAGUGCCCCGCCUGGGGAGUACGGCCGCAAGGCUAAAACUCAAAGGAAUUGACGGGGGCCCGCACAAGCGGCGGAGCAUGCGGAUUAAUUCGAUGCAACGCGAAGAACCUUACCAAGGCUUGACAUGUUCUCGAUCGCCGUAGAGAUACGGUUUCCCCUUUGGGGCGGGUUCACAGGUGGUGCAUGGUUGUCGUCAGCUCGUGUCGUGAGAUGUUGGGUUAAGUCCCGCAACGAGCGCAACCCUCGUUCCAUGUUGCCAGCACGUCGUGGUGGGGACUCAUGGGAGACUGCCGGGGUCAACUCGGAGGAAGGUGAGGACGACGUCAAAUCAUCAUGCCCCUUAUGUCUUGGGCUUCACGCAUGCUACAAUGGCCGGUACAAUGGGUUGCGAUACUGUGAGGUGGAGCUAAUCCCAAAAAGCCGGUCUCAGUUCGGAUUGGGGUCUGCAACUCGACCCCAUGAAGUCGGAGUCGCUAGUAAUCGCAGAUCAGCAACGCUGCGGUGAAUACGUUCCCGGGCCUUGUACACACCGCCCGUCAAGUCACGAAAGU